GAGAAAAACAAGAACAAGAGGAGCAACAUGAAGGGCAAUUUCGGCCCUAGCUCCUUACUUUCACCCCUCAAAAAUUUUGAUCCAAAAAUUAUUGUCUUGUGGCUUUCCUACUAUAUUAAGGGUCCUCUACAACUUGGUGCAAUUGUUUGGGAGAAUAGAGCACUUGUUUCACCAAUCUCACACUUGGGUUAAGUGAAGAAGUUGAAGAAAAAAGAUUUUGGGCGAAACGGGAAUCGAAUUUGGAAAGGCGUAAAGAGCAUAUAAGGUACAGACGACAGAUUUGCUGAUCCGCCCGCUUAGGACUUUAUUCUGCUCUUUUGGAGCGCUCAUUUAUCCGGAACCCAUAUUUUGGUACAGUCUUCUGCUAUCGUAUAUAUGUACAUUAUUCAGGGGUACGACGGGGCCCUGUCCCGUGUUAUGAUUCUGUUAUGUUCUGUAGAGGUCUGUAGACAUACUUGUGUGGGUUCUGUAUAUGUUUUGGGUUACUAUGAUCUGUGACGGCCUUAUCGGCUUUCACGUGCUAUAUCUGUUCACCUGCACUAUCUGGUAGCACCAAUUGACUUUUAUAUUGAUAUAUUCUGCAAAUAUGCUCGUUUGGGUUAUUGGGUACGUUUGGGUGUCUAGCACGGACACUAGUCACGGCCUACGGGGUUGGGUCGUGACAUUCAUGUAAGUAUCCACUAAUGUGAGGACACUCAGAAUGGGAUCAAGUAGGACUUGUUAUUGGCUUGUAAUGUAGGCUUAUAGAUGGGUAGGAUAUAUAUUUGUAAUAAAGUGACUAUUCCCUCCUUGAGCAUAACACUAUACUUCUAUAUAUAUAUAUAUAUAUAUAUUUUUUUUUUUGAUGUUCGCACUCGAUCUUUAUUUGCUUUGCUUUUUUUUUUCUUUAACUUUCUUCUCUCUUUUUUUGUUUUGAGCUUUCCUCCAUUUUUUGGAGCUUUUUUUUUUCUUUGCAGCUCUUCUUUUGUCGUUGUAAUUUACUUAGACUUUUGCAUUUUUCACCUUUCCACUUUGCCAGCUUAGAUUUUGUUAGUGCGCUCAGGGAGGUGGGGCCAAAAGAGGGAUAGUGCACUUAUGCACUCGAAAGGAUAUAGGCUAAAUUGUGGUUUAUCCAAAGAAAAUGUUUUAGGCUCAAAAGGGUAACACUAGGGAUCAUAUGUCAUUUGGUAGGCUUGAAAGGCACAAUCGGGUCAAAGAAAGCCUACAAUCCUUUCUCAAACCAAGUGUUGCUCGAUAUUUCGCCUCAACAAACAUUCCGGCCAAGUUCUAGAUCAACAAAGCAAUGUUAUUGAAUUUUCAAUCUAAAGCUCAUCACACAAUGCACAUAAAACGAUGAGGUCGGAUUAAUUUUGACCCUAACUUUUAGCCAAAGAAUUUCUCAAGUGUCACUUAGGUAUAAUCAAGAGGUACCAAAAGAAUCUAUGGUUCACAACAAAAUUGGUCCUCUCUAUCAUCCUCAUUCUUUUAACUCUUGUUUUUUUUAUCAUGCACACUCCUAAAUAUGUUGAUACCUACCGAGUCAAUAUAUUUUCUUAUUCAUUUUUUUGUGGGACCGAACCGUAAAGAAGGGUUGCCUAUGUAUCUUGUUGAAACAAGAAUCAGGUCAGACGUAGUUCAUGAAAAAAAGUAUACAAACAUUUUUAUUAAAUUUUGGGAUAAUGAAAUAAAAGCUCUUUUUUUGUUCUUUUUGUGAAAGAAUAACAACUCUUUUUUUUUCAUAUUGUUUUUUUUUAAUAGGAAUACCGAACCCAAGAAGGGCAGCCUACGUAUCUCACCGGGAUGAGAAUCAGGUUUGCGUAGUUCUUGAUGAGAAUGGAAACUUGUUUUUUUUUUUCUUUUUUUUUUUUGAAUUUUCUCUUAUCUUUUUUUUUUAUGUUUAAAAGAAAAGAAACCUUUUUUUUUAAUUUUCCAAGGAAUGAAUAAAUAAAAGAAAACAUUUUUGGUAUUUUUCAAAUGUUGGAAUUUUCUACAAAGAAUAAUUCUAAAAAUAAGGUAAAAUCUUUUUUGGAUUUUUUUGAAUAAGGAAAACUCUUUUUUUUUUUUUUAAUCUUUGAAUAAAGAUCACCGAACCCAAGAAGGGCUGCCUACGUAUCUCAUUGAGGUGAGAAUCAGGUGCGCGUAGUUCGUGAUGAGAAUGGAGAAACUUGUUUUUUUUUUCUUGAAUUUUCUCCUUUUUUUUAUCUUUAAAAGAAAAGAAACCCUUUUUUAAUUUUCCAAGGAAUGAAUAAAUAAAAGAAAAUAUUUUUGGGAUUUUUCAAAUGUUGGAAUUUUAUACAAAGAAUAAUCCGAAAAAUAAAGGUAAAACCUUUUUUUGGAUUUUUUGAAUAAGGAAAACUCUUUUUUUUUUUAAUCUUUGAAUAAAGAUCACCGAAUCCAAGAAGGACUGCCUACGUAUCUCAUUGAGGUGAGAAUCAGGUGCACGUAGUUCGUGAAUACUAGCUUAGACUCUUGGAUUUUUUUUUUUUUUUUUUUUUAAAUGGAGGAUAAUUAUUUCUCUCUUAUUCUUCCUAAUCACCUUAAAAACCGGUCAACAUGCAAAAACCUUCCAAAUAAAUAUGUUUUCGGAUAGCACAUAAAAUAAAUAUGGUGGUCUUUUGAGAUAGACACCUGUCUUAGACAGACCCAGCCCCUGUGCCGAGUCCUAUUAGGUCAAAUGCAUGUGAUGUAAAUAAAGCGUAGCCUAAUAGGGAUAAUCAUUACUUGUGGCUUGUUCUGCUAGGUUUAACAUCCUAAAGGAGAAGGUGUCUAGACUGGCUUACCCGAGCGGACAACUCGAGCCGGGGAAGGGCCAGAUUGCCGGUAGCAGAGCUUUUCCG